rnacentral:rRNA from 1 species
CUAAUACCGGAUAUGACCUUCGGCUGCAUGGCCGAGGGUGGAAAGGUUUACUGGUGCAGGAUGGGCCCGCGGCCUAUCAGCUUGUUGGUGGGGUAAUGGCCUACCAAGGCGACGACGGGUAGCCGACCUGAGAGGGUGACCGGCCACACUGGGACUGAGACACGGCCCAGACUCCUACGGGAGGCAGCAGUGGGGAAUAUUGCACAAUGGGCGAAAGCCUGAUGCAGCGACGCCGCGUGAGGGAUGACGGCCUUCGGGUUGUAAACCUCUUUCAGCAGGGACGAAGCGAAAGUGACGGUACCUGCAGAAGAAGCACCGGCUAACUACGUGCCAGCAGCCGCGGUAAUACGUAGGGUGCAAGCGUUGUCCGGAAUUACUGGGCGUAAAGAGUUCGUAGGCGGUUUGUCGCGUCGUUUGUGAAAACUCACAGCUCAACUGUGAGCCUGCAGGCGAUACGGGCAGACUUGAGUACUGCAGGGGAGACUGGAAUUCCUGGUGUAGCGGUGAAAUGCGCAGAUAUCAGGAGGAACACCGGUGGCGAAGGCGGGUCUCUGGGCAGUAACUGACGCUGAGGAACGAAAGCGUGGGUAGCAAACAGGAUUAGAUACCCUGGUAGUCCACGCCGUAAACGGUGGGCGCUAGGUGUGGGUUCCUUCCACGGGAUCUGUGCCGUAGCUAACGCAUUAAGCGCCCCGCCUGGGGAGUACGGCCGC